rnacentral:rRNA from 1 species
UACGUAGGGUGCAAGCGUUGUCCGGAAUUAUUGGGCGUAAAGAGCUCGUAGGCGGUUUGUCGCGUCUGCUGUGAAAAUCCAGGGCUUAACCCUGGACCUGCAGUGGGUACGGGCAGACUAGAGUGCGGUAGGGGAGAUCGGAAUUCCUGGUGUAGCGGUGAAAUGCGCAGAUAUCAGGAGGAACACCGGUGGCGAAGGCGGAUCUCUGGGCCGUAACUGACGCUCAGGCACGAAAGCUAGGGGAGCGAACAGG